GAUGAAGAACGCAGCGAAAUGCGAUAAGUAAUGUGAAUUGCAGAAUUCAGUGAAUCAUCGAAUCUUUGAACGCACAUUGCGCCCGCCAGUAUUCUGGCGGGCAUGCCUGUCUGAGCGUCAUUUCAACCCUCAUGCCCCUAGGGCGUGGUGUUGGGGAUCGGCCAAAGGCCGCGAGGGACGGCCGGCCCCUAAAUCUAGUGGCGGACCCGUCGUGGCCUCCUCUGCGAAGUAGUGAUAUUCCGCAUCGGAGAGCGAUGAGCCCCUGCCGUUAAACCCCCAACUUUCCAAGGUUGACCUCAGAUCAGGUAGGAAUACCCGCUGAACUUAAGCAUAUCAAUAAGCGGAGGA
rnacentral:misc_RNA from 1 species